rnacentral:rRNA from 1 species
UACAGAGGGUGCGAGCGUUAAUCGGAAUUACUGGGCGUAAAGCGCGCGUAGGCGGUUACUCAAGUCGGAUGUGAAAGCCCUCGGCUUAACUGAGGAAGUGCACCCGAAACUGAGUAGCUAGAGUACCAAAGAGGGUCGCGGAAUUCCCGGUGUAGAGGUGAAAUUCGUAGAUAUCGGGAGGAACACCGGUGGCGAAGGCGGCGACCUGGGUGGAUACUGACGCUGAGGCGCGAAAGCGUGGGGAGCAAACAGG